GAAUGGGCUUCUGUGCCCCGUCUCGCUUGUUGGCUCCUCUCGAAUGCAUGAGCUUUCCAAUCCUUGGCAAAGUAUCGUCGAUGUGAUAAUUGUCUACGUCGCCUGAGAAAGCCGAAAAGGGGAAAUCUUUGAUCACGCUGGGGUGACCUGCGUCUGACAAAUUCGACCUCAAAUCAGGUAGGACUACCCGCUGAACUUAA
rnacentral:misc_RNA from 1 species